rnacentral:rRNA from 1 species
UGACCUCAAAUCAGGUAGGAUUACCUGCUGAACUUAAGCAUAUCAAUAAGCGGAGGAAAAGAAACUAACAAGGAUUCCCCUAGUAACUGCGAGUGAAGCGGGAAGAGCUCAAAUUUAAAAUCUGGCGGUCUUUGGCCGUCCGAGUUGUAUUCUGGAGAAGUGCUUUCCGCGCUGGACCGUGUAUAAGUCUCUUGGAACAGAGCGUCAUAGAGGGUGAGAAUCCCGUCUUUGACACGGACUACCAGUGCUUUGUGAUGCGCUCUCAAAGAGUCGAGUUGUUUGGGAAUGCAGCUCAAAAUGGGUGGUAAAUUCCAUCUAAAGCUAAAUAUUGGCGAGAGACCGAUAGCGAACAAGUACCGUGAGGGAA